rnacentral:piRNA from 1 species
GCAUUUAAGUGUCCUGGACUUCUUAG